rnacentral:rRNA from 1 species
UACGUAGGGUGCAAGCGUUGUCCGGAAUUAUUGGGCGUAAAGAGCUCGUAGGUGGCGGGUCACGUCGGGUGUGAAAGCCCGGGGCUUAACCCCGGGUCUGCAUUCGAUACGGGUCUGCUGGGGUCCGGCAGGGGAGACUGGAAUUCCUGGUGUAGCGGUGAAAUGCGCAGAUAUCAGGAGGAACACCGGUGGCGAAGGCGGGUCUCUGGGCCGGUACCGACGCUGAGGUGCGAAAGCGUGGGGAGCAAACAGG